rnacentral:rRNA from 1 species
UACGUAGGGCGCAAGCGUUGUUCGGAUUCACUGGGCGUAAAGGGUGCGUAGGUGGUGAGGUAAGUCGGAUGUGAAAUCUCCGAGCUCAACUCGGGAAUGGCAUUGGAAACUACCUUGCUCGAGGGUUGGAGGGGGGACUGGAAUACUUGGUGUAGCAGUGAAAUGCGUAGAUAUCAAGUUGAACACCAGUGGCGAAGGCGAGUCCCUGGACAACUCCUGACACUGAGGCACGAAAGCUAGGGGAGCAAACAGG